GGACGGAUAAGGCGUUUUACGCCGCAUCCGGCAUUCAGUGCCUGAUGCGACGCUGACGCGUCUUAUCAGGCC
rnacentral:ncRNA from 1 species